UACACAUGCAGUCGCACGAGAAGGGCUUCGGCCUGAGUAAAGUGGCGGACGGGUGAGUAACACGUGGGUAACGUGCCCCCCGGACGGGGGAUAACAUGCCGAAAGGCGUGCUAAUACCGCGUACGACGAGAGUUCCGGAAGGAGCUUUCGGGAUAGGUGCCCUCUGCAUAUGGUACCGACGGAGGAUCGGCCCGCGGCCCAUUAGCUAGUUGGCGGGGUAAAGGCCCACCAAGGCGACGAUGGGUAGCUGGUCUGAGAGGAUGAUCAGCCACACUGGAACUGAGACACGGUCCAGACUCCUACGGGAGGCAGCAGUGGGGAAUAUUGCGCAAUGGGCGAAAGCCUGACGCAGCAACGCCGCGUGAGUGACGAAGGCCUUCGGGUUGUAAAGCUCUGACGGGAGGAACGAAACCCUGGGGUUCGAAUAGGGCUCCAGGCUGACGGUACCUCGCAAGAAAGCACCGGCUAACUCUGUGCCAGCAGCCGCGGUAAUACAGAGGGUGCAAGCGUUGCUCGGAAUCAUUGGGCGUAAAGCGUGCGCAGGCGGCCGCGUGUGUCGGGUGUGAAAUCCCGGGGCUCAACCCCGGAACUGCAUCCGAAACUGCGCGGCUUGAGUACGGGAGAGGGAAGCGGAAUUCCCAGUGUAGAGGUGAAAUUCGUAGAUAUUGGGAGGAACACCGGUGGCGAAAGCGGCUUCCUGGCCCGAAACUGACGCU
rnacentral:rRNA from 1 species